GGGGACGAGUGGUUUCGACAGGGGAGGAGCGCCACAGGAUUGCAGGCCGAGGUGCCAUCCACCUCGUAAAACAGGUGGCAAAAAAGUAACUGACAACUACGUCUACGCUAGCUAAGCUGGACACGUCCCCUUCGCCUCCCUCGAUGGGCGGGGGUGGGCGACGAGAAGUCGAGGUGCGGCAGUCCAGAGGUCGAUAAGGGUUGCCCAAGAUGUUAUCGACUGGCUCAACCGGACUCGGUCGGCAGAGGAAGGUUGGGUGAGAGCAAAGAGCCGACUAAGCCUGUAGCAUAUUCUGGGUGGACCUCCUCUGGACGGGGAGUUCGACUCUCCCCCGUCUCCACCA
rnacentral:tmRNA from 1 species